UGGCAGUUAAACACCAAAAUACAAUGAAAUUCACCAGCAUUUUCGCAAUUGCCGUUGCCAUGGUUUUGGCCAUUAGCUCGGCUGAGGCUAAACCUGAACCAAAACCCGAACCAUUACCCGAACCAAUUUUAAAUGUGGUCACCGAUUUACUGAACGGAAUUUUGGGUGGCAGGUAAAAGGUUUUGCGUACGAAGCUUCUGAUGAUUUUGUUGUAAUGAAUGACAGUUGAAAUAAA
rnacentral:sRNA from 1 species